GGAGCGAAUGUCCUUCUUCAGCCUGCCCGCAUGGAUGCUGGGCUUAUCUGCGCGCCGCACUCCUCUUCUUUCACUGAUUCCGAACAGCUUUCAUGGGUGGCUUUGUGAAGAAUUAUCCUCUCCAGGGAAAUACAUCUUUUAUUCUUCUGAUUUUUAAGAGGGAAUAUGGUCUGAGGCAAAGUUCCAGCAACAGAGGAAACUUUCUUCAAUCAACAAUAAGACCUUCAUCAUUUUGAUUGUUACCUGUUGCUGAGAUGAGAAGAUACAGCUAUUCCCAGAAAGCCGGGUACUUAAAUCUUAUUGGAUAUAAAGAAUAAGCUUUCAGAUCAAGAAGGUCUUCUUGAGUGAGGUGUACUAAAGCAUAAACAGGUAACAGACAGCAGUAACUGAUAUCCAGCAGGCAUCACAUGAACUGGGGAGCAUCCUCAAUCUCUAGCUGACAAGUUGUGCAUGCAGCACUCUUCUUGCAGGAUGGUGAGAAACAAAAUGCAGGAGAAAAGAACUGAAGAAAAAUAACCAAAGGGAACUGAUGUCCUAUAUAAAGUGCUGUCCAGUGGGAUAGGCAGCUAUCUGAAAUGUCAUCUCACUUCCAAAUUAGAUUUGCGAAACCCCAAUGCUAGCAAAACUGACUCACCUAUUUAUCACAUUCCUACCCUUACUAAGAACUUUUAACCUAGUGCUCCUUCUUUAUUUGUUUGGGCCUAAAAUACUCCCUCAGCCUAAAUAAAGAUUUAUAAUUGGUUGAUUUCUAGUUAGGGCUGUUUGAGCAGAAUAAAGUUACUCACCAUUCAUACUGCACACUGGACUUUGUUCACUGAGUAAAUUAAUACAGUGUUAAUAAUAAUGCAGUACUUUGUAGUACAUCUGCAUAAG